rnacentral:ncRNA from 2 species
UUGCAGAGGAAAGCAGAAGGUGUCGCCUCUUCGGUUCUGAGGAGUGUGAUGAAAAGGGAAGAGAGGUGUAAAUCCUCCGCAGUCCCGCUGCCGUGUUUCCUGUAAUUGCUUGGGAAGUAUAUCUAUAACCCAUUCCCUCUAGUCUCUAUUUUUGAGACUAGUUGCCUGAAAGUAGGAGAAUGAGGGGAGAAGGGGCACUAUCCAAGCAGGGAAAAGCCGGAAGACCUGCCUUCUCUGUUUAAUCAUC